GGCGGCGGCUCGGGCACGCGCUUCCUAGUGACGCAACACCGAGGCCGCGCACGCACGGCCCGGGCGAGCUUGGAGACUUAUUUGGCGCCCAGCGCGGAAGCGCACAGUGUGGGUGCCAGCUUUUGGAUGAUUUCCUUUCUACCAAUACUUGAUAACUGAAUAUCUUGGCUUUCAAACAACAAGCAGACACACUGCUCUAGUAACAGUCCGUUGAAGGAAACAACCGUCUCUGGCUCUGUUGCCAAGAAUGUCUAGCCAACUUUGAGAAAACAUCAGACAAACUCAUACUGAUGGAAAUCAGCGUUAUAACUGACUGAUGUUCUUCAAAGGUCAUAAAAGACAAAAUGAGGAAAUACCACAAAUUGGGCACAAUUUGAAAUAAAGAAACAAUACAAAAAGCAUCAAGAGAUUAUUGCAACAUUGGAGAAAAAGCUGGCGAAAUUUGCAAAAGGUCUUUGGUUAAUAGUGUGCCAGUGAUAAUCUUUCAUAUCAAUAACUGGACUGUAGUUACAUUAAGAUACUUGCACUAGGGGAAUCUGGGUAAAUAAUAUGUCAGUGAGUAUGACAGUGAAUCCCUGUCUUAUUAUUCACAUGUUCUAUGUAUUUUAGCUUAUAACAAAAAGUUACAAGUUUUUUGUUUUUUUUUUUUUUUUUUUUGGUGUCUGUGUAAAAACUAGGGACUACUGACUGUCUCUGUGUGUUGAACACUCAACUUGACCUAACACCAGACUACGUCUCAGCUGCCAAAAACAUUUAAUGACUAUCAGAGACAGUUACUCGGGUUUUAGGUAAAUGAGGUAGUAGGAAUCCGUGGGAGGGGUCAACAAAGUAUAUAGCUGGGGAGAGGCACAGAAGUAGGAAAGGCCGUGGUUGUAAACAGAGAGUAAAGAUUUAGGUGUUACUCAAAGAAGGCCCUGGAGAAUAGAAAGAUGUAGGGAUGAAAACAGAAAACCCUACUCAGAACCUAAAUCUUUCACUGCCUAGUUAAACAGAUUCUUAUGUCCCACCAAGGACAGCACUCGAUGCGAGUUGGAGGUACAGACUGAAAAGCAUGCACUCCCCCUCCCCGCCGAAGACGGUGCUCUGACCCAGAAAUGAAAAUCCAUAUACCUCUCUGGGAUAUUUGGGGCCUAAAAUACUGCUGUAGACAAGCAAAAAAUCAGAGAGACUCAAAGCAUAUUCAGAUUAAUGAGGUUGAAGAAACUCAUACAACAAUUUAAAAACUCAAAAGUCCUAACAGUAAAAUCCAAAGACAGACCAAGCUGAUACAUACCAAGGAGUAGGAAAAUAAUAAAAAUCUAUUUUCCAUAAUUAAGUCAUUAUUUUACUAUAAGAACAGAAAACUUUGUAUGUCCAGUAACAACACCACAUAGCAAACAGUAGUCUCAAAUCUAACCAAAAGGUUUCAGUCAGGGUUCAUUGCUAUUUUGUGUGGCUUGAUGGCACACAAGUGCAUUGUUCAUGUUGUAGGUUCAGAGUGAAGGCUACAAGUAAAAUUUCAGGAUAUAACACAAAAGAGUAUUGCCAGAAACAAUUUGAAUUCAUCAGGCUUUUUAGUUUAAAUUAAUUUUGAUCAUUAUGCAUUCAGAAACCUUUUACUAUUGCCAAAGAAUUCAUGACCCCACAUACUGUUAAUCUACCACAUGUAAGUCCACUAUCCACAGUUUAAAAACUAUAGGUUAAACACAUUGAUUAAGUCAAUGUCAUCAUGAUUUAUCUCUAGAAAUGCCCUUUUAGACACCCCAGAGGUAUGUUUUAUUGAUCUCAGAGCUAUCUCUCAGUCUAAUCAAGUUGGUAGUAAAGAUUAACAGUCAUGAGCUGUCAUGAUGGUUCAUCUGGUAAAGAUGCUUGCCUGAGUUUGAUCCCAGGGUCCUACAUGAUGGAAGAAGAGAACAGACUUCACUAAGCCAUCCUCUGACCUCUAACCUCUACGUAUGCUGUGGCAGAGACAUGCUUCCACCACCACAUAUGCACACACACACACACGUAUAUCCAAUGUAAAAAUAAUUUUUAAAAAUGUUCUAGAUUCUUUAAUGGAAUAUGGUCUUCUGUAAGUGCCAUUAGUGAGGGGACAGAGAGAUAGCUAUAUUUUCAGUCAUCCUUCAUAAAAAUUUAAGAUGACAGCUCAUGACAGUUAGUCUUUACCACCAGCUUGAUUAGAUUGAGAGAUAUCUAUGAAUAAAACAUACCUCUGGGGUGUCUAAAAGGACAUUUCCAGAGACAAGUUUAGAACUUAUCUCAAAAGUUUGAAUGUUUCCCUAAAUUUUUAUUACACCCAUAAAUAAUUUUGCAACUGUUAAAAUGGUGGGCUGAGUGUGGUGGUUUAUGCCUUUAAUCCCACUUAUAGGCAAUGGCAGUUGGAUCUCUGUAAAUUCAAGACCAGCCUGAUCUGCAUAAUGAGUUACAAGAUAGCCAGAGCCACAGAGUAAGGCCUUGUCUCAAAAAACAAACAUAAGUGUGUGUGUGGAGGGAGGAGGGUGGCACACACCUUUAAUUUCAGCACUCUGGAGGCAGAGGCAGGUGGAUCUGUGAGUUCAAGGCCAGCCUGGUCUACAGAGUGAAUUCCAGGAAAGCUGAGAUUACACAGAAAAACCCUGUCUAGAAAAAAAAAAACCAAACAAACAGAACCAAAAACAAGCAAACAGAAAGUGAUGGCCAUGGAGACAAAGUGCUGACAUUAGAUCUCUAGGCACAGUUCCCAAAGGCAACUGCCUAUCAGCUUCAACACUGCCAAUGAACUGCUUUUGAGGAAAGACCCUGUCAUGAAAGAUCUGUCUUCAAUAGUCCAAAAGGAGUUAACACACUUUAGGUUGGGCAUACGAGAAAAACUGUCGUCAAAAAAUAAUGCCUUCUCCUACUUUCCUCAGUGGACACUGAAUCUUAAAUAGGAGGCUGGAGAGAUGGCACAGAGGUUAAAAGUGCUUGCUGCUUCUGCAGAGAACCCAGUACCCACACUGGGUAGCUUACAACUAACUGUCUGUAACUCCAGCUACAGGAGAUCCUAUGCCCUUUUCUUUCCUGUUUGGGCACCUGUGCUCACAUGCACAUGCUCUUAGAAUACACACACAUACACAUAAGUAAAAAUACAAUCUUUUGUAAAGAAUUGAAGGCUGGGCAUGGUGGUGAAUGCCUUUAAUUCCAGCACUUGGAAGACAGAAGUGACAGAUAUCUGGGAGUUCAGUCCAGCCUGAUCUACGUAGUUCCAGGACAGCCAGAGCUACACAGAGAGACCUUGCCUCAAAAAACAAAACAAAAUCAGAAUUUACUUUGAAAAUAAUAAAAAUAAUAUAAUAAUAAUAAAUAAUAAAAAUUAUGGUUUAUGAUACAUACUUCAGAAAUUUUUCUUUACAUGUGUCUGGUUUUUUGUUUUGUUUUUUUUUUUGUAUGCUCCUGUGCAAUGGAGUAUGUAUGAACAAUCAUGUGAUCUAGAGUAAAACUCAGGUUGUCAGGCUUGGCAGAAAGUACCUUUACCGACUGAGCCAUCUCAGCCCCCAUGUUAAGGUUCUCUUUACAAGCUACAAGUUCUUUCAAAAGUCUGAGAGUAAAGCCUAUAACUGAAUGGCUGACAGGUGGUAAUUGCAGUGGUGGGCUGCUUACCCAGCAUAUGAGAGGCCCUAGGUUCUAUGGGGGGAGGGGUCAUUUAAAUCGUUUUGGUGGCUAUAAUCCCAGCACUUGGGAGGCUAAGGCACCAGGAUCAUGAGUUUGAGACCAGUUUGGGCUACACAGUAGGAAACCCCUAUCUCAAAGGUAGAGGGGAAAGGGGCUGGUGAGAUGGCUCAGUGAGUAAAGGCACCUGCUGCUAAGCCCAAGGAUCUGAGUUUGAUCCUCAGGACCGACCUACAUGGUGGAAAGAGAACUGCAAGUUGUCCUCCGACCUCCCCAUGUGUGACGUGCUGCGCUCUUGUACACACACAAUAAAUAAAUGUAACAAAAAAUUUAAGGGUGAAAGAAAAUAAGGACUGGGGAGAUGGUUCAGUGGCUGAAAGCACUUGCUUCACCAAUACAUACCUAGUAACUUAAGUUCAGGUCCUUGGAACCCACAUAAAAGGACACAGGAAUGCAUGAAGAUGGGUGGUAGAGAUGGGAGUCCUCAGAAAAUUUCAGGCGAGCUAGCUUGAAGUAUGAGUGGAAUACCAAGCAACAGAAGAGCUUCUGACUCGAAAACAAAGCUGAGAACAAGUACCAAAAGUUGUUCUUUGACCUCUGUGUGUAUGCAUGUGCACUCGAACUUAGAAACAGUUUGUUCAUUGAAGCAAAAAUAGCACACGUAUAAUAUGACUCGCAUUUUUACCUAGAUGUUUUAAGCUUACUAUGUGUGGUUAGUCUAUGGCUCAGUGUUAUUUUUAAUGCACUUGUUUAUCUUUUAUUUGUGUGUGUAUGUGCUUGGUGAGUUAUGUGCACCAUGUGUAUGCAGGAUCCUAAAGAGCAGAAGAUGGCAUCAAGCCUCCUGGAGUCACAGGCAGUUGUGAGCUGCCAUGUGGGCGCUAAGACCGGAACCCCGGUCCUCUGGAAGAUGGCAGUGCUCUUAACCAUUGAGCAUUUCUCCAGUCUCUCAGUCUCGUUAUGAUUCAACUUAUGACUUUAUCCUAUAUGGAAGUAAUAUAGAAUUAAAAAAGUUUUAACUUUUUUAUUGAUUCUUUGUGAAUUUCACAUCAUGUACUCCAAUCCCCCCACUCGUUUCCCCACCCCCUCAUAUCUGUCCUCUGCCUUUGGGACCUCCCCCACCCCUCCCAAAAAAACACACACACAAACAACAAAACAAAACAAAGCAUAGAAAACGUGUCAUUACGGAAGCUGUCGUGUAUCACAGCAUGGUAUGUCUCAUGCCAUACCCCUCUGUCCCCACAUCUUCACUUGCAAAUAUUCGUUGCAGUGAGGCAUUGAUCUGGUACAAGGUAUCUGGCUUCUGUUACACCAUUAGUAUUGGCUCCUCACCGGAACUCUUCCCAGUUAUACUGUUAUUGCCCUGUGUCAUGGAGAUCCUUGAGCUUUGGAUCAGUAGGACCAGCUCUUUCACAUGCUCCAGCAGUUCAUAAAUGAUACAGAUUUUGGGAUGAGCCAACUCAAAGCCCUGGAUAGCUGAGCUGGUCAGCCUGCCAGCUCCCCUCCAUCUGCGUAAUCAGGGCAAACUCUCCAGCCCUGCUCUGGCAAGGCCUCCCAAUGUUGCUAUCGGCAGGAAGCAGGGUCAGCUCUCUGGUUCUCAUGCCCUUGGGGCCAGCUUGCCCACUCUCACACCUCUAGAGCCGACUCCACUCUGUUGCCCAGCUGAGGCUCAGAGCCCAAUCUCCAUAGUGCUGCAGCCGUCUAGGAGCUGGACCAGCUCUCCCUGGCCCCCACCUCCCUUGAGGCUGGCUUACCGGUGCCUCCAACAUUAAGGCUGGCUCCACUGUGUUGCCCAGUUGACGUGCAGGGCCUGUUCUCCUGAGUGCUACAGCCACUGAGGAGCAGGGAUAGCUUCUCCCACUCUCAUUACCUUGGGGCCAGCUCUCCUAACUGCCAUAGGUAGUGAGAGUUGAAGGAGGGGCAUCAUCUCCACGCCUGAGCCCCCUCCGAGCAGAUGAGUGGGCUGGGGUCAGCUAUCCCACUCUCAUGCCCUCGGCACUAUCUCACCCCCACUACCAGGGCCAACUCCACUCUCCUGAUUGCUGGUGCUGGUGCUGGGCCAGCUCUCCAGAAUGCCACUAGUGGGGAGCAGGACCAGUUCUGCACAGGCCUCGGCUGCCCAGACCAGGAACAUUCCCAUGGUCUGUAGUGGUAAUAUGAGCCACAGACAUCAACACAACCCCUGGGCUGUAUGGCCACAGACUCAGACAUGGCCCUCACUAGCAGAAUGGGCUGAGACUUCACCAUGGUCUCAGGUGCCGGGGCUGGCUACUCACGGUAGGCCAUCCCUCUCCACCUUUGGGUCUCCAAUCCCACCUUUCUUCAUGAUGCUCAAACUCUUCUGCUACUCUUUUUCUCCCACCUGCCCGCCACAUAUUUGCACAUUGUAGUGGCUUCCACUGCAGGUCGGCCAUGCAGCUGGGCCCCUUCUGGGUGAUCUUUUCUGUCCAAAUGGCAUGGUGCCAAAGGGCUUCUAGGUGUCUACAGCCCACCUGCCUGUGUAGCAUGGCAGUGGGCAGGUCUAUGAAGGUCUUCCCCCACUCCCAAGACAUAUGGCUUGGAGGCAGAUGGGCCUCUUUGUCUAUGGCCCACCCAUACUGUGUGGCAGAGGGUGAGUCUCUCAGCACCUUUCCCCAUCAGUCCAUUUUCUGCCGUGCUGGGGAUUAGACCCAAGGCCUCAUGCAUGCUAAGCACGUCCCUCAGCACCAACCUGUACCCUCCCAAGCUAGUGAGGUGUGCUGUGAUAUGCUCUCACAUCUCUGGACACCUGGCUAUGUGCUAUGUGAUCCUCUGUGCUCACUGCACACCCUAUUGUCAGUGUUUGUCAGAGUAUGAUGGUUAGUCCUUCUUGUCACCUAGAUUCCAUCUGAACUCAACUAACAGGCAAGCCUCUGGGCACACCUGUUAGGAAUUACCUAGAUUAGAUUAACCUCUGGGCAUGGCUGUGAGGGAUUUUCUCCUUUAAAACAAUACUUUUACUAUUUUUCAUUCUGUUUAGGUGUGUGUGUCUAUGUGUGAGUUUGUAUAUGUGAGCACAGGUGCCCACAGGGGUCAGAGGUGUCAGAUCCACUGGACCUGGAAUUAGAGACAGUCUUGAGCAGCCUGACCUGUGGGUGCUGUAAGCAGCUGUCCUGUGAAAGAGCUGCCAUCAGUAAAGGAUUUCGAUUACAUCCACUGAAGUGGGAAGAUCUACUCUGAAUGUAGGCGGUAACUGCUAGCAGCAGCUCAAAGCAAGGAGGACUAAGCGGGAAACAUUUGCUUUUGUUGGUUUUUGUGUCUCUGUUUUUGUGUUUGCUUGCUUGAUUUUAUGUCUUGUUGAUGAGUUCCUCUUCCCUGUUCACAAACUGAAUUACAUUGUUGCUGCUGCUGUCACUGCUGCUGUCCUUUGCUGUCAUCAGAACCUAGCUUCUUCAGCCCAUCAACCUGAAGUGAAGACCAACGGCUCUCCAAGAACUUCAGCAUCAUAUUGGGACUCCUGAGGCACCCAGCUAGGUAGACAGAACAGCUACCAGUUCUUUAUUUCUGCAGUGUUAAGGCAGCCAUUGAUGGGUUACCUAGACUAUAUCCUGUAUGUCAAUCUAGUCAAUCCUCCUUUCUGUAUUCAUCCUAUCAGUGGUGUUCUUUUAUACUCAAUGAAUUAACACAUUCAC